rnacentral:rRNA from 1 species
GAUGAACGCUGGCGGCGUGCCUAAUACAUGCAAGUCGAGCGAAUGGAUUAAGAGCUUGCUCUUAUGAAGUAGCGGCGGACGGGUGAGUAACACGUGGGUAACCUGCCCAUAAGACUGGGAUAACUCCGGGAAACCGGGGCUAAUACCGGAUAACAUUUUGAACCGCAUGGUUAGAAAUUGAAAGGCGGCUUCAGCUGUCACUCUUGGAUGCACCCGCGUCGCAUUAGCUAGUUGGUGCGGUAACGGCUCACAAAGGCAACGAUGCGUAGCCGACCUGAGAGGGUGAUCGGCCACACUGGGACUGAGACACGGCCCAGACUCCUACGGGAGGCAGCAGUAGGGAAUCUUCCGCAAUGGACGAAAGUCUGACGGAGCAACGCCGCGUGAGUGAUGAAGGCUUUCGGGUCGUAAAACUCUGUUGUUAGGGAAGAACAAGUGCUAGUUGAAUAAGCUGGCACCUUGACGGUACCUAACCAGAAAGCCACGGCUAACUACGUGCCAGCAGCCGCGGUAA